GAUGAACGCUGGCGGCGUGCCUAAUACAUGCAAGUCGAACGAAGCCUUCGGGCUUAGUGGCGAACGGGUGAGUAACACGUUGGUACCUACCCUCUAGUGGGGAAUAACUGGCCGAAAGGUCGGCUAAUACCGCAUAAUACCGCAAGGUUAAAGCAGCAAUGCGCUAGAGGAGGGGCCUGCGUCCCAUUAGCUUGUUGGGAGUGUAAUGGACUACCAAGGCGACGAUGGGUAGCUGGAUCGAGAGGUUGACCAGCCACACUGGGACUGAGAUACGGCCCAGACUCCUACGGGAGGCAGCAGUAAGGAAUCUUCCACAAUGGACGAAAGUCUGAUGGAGCAACGCCGCGUGCAGGAUGACGGCCUUCGGGUUGUAAACUGCUUUUAUAUGGGAAGAUUAUGACGGUACCAUAUGAAUAAGGACCGGCUAACUACGUGCCAGCCGCCGCAGUAA
rnacentral:rRNA from 1 species